GCGACAGGCCUAACACAUGCAAGUCAGGGGCAGCACAAGGAGCAAUCUGAGGUGGCGACCGGCGCACGGGUGAGUAACACGUAUGCAACCUGCCUGUAAGCGGGGAAUAACCCGUUGAAAGACGGACUAAUACCGCAUAAUACUAAAUUACUGCAUGGUAAUUUAUUUAAACAUUUAUGGCUUACAGAUGGGCAUGCGCAUGAUUAGCUAGUUGGAGAGGUAACGGCUCCCCAAGGCAACGAUCAUUAGGGGUUCUGAGAGGAAGGUCCCCCACACUGGUACUGAGACACGGACCAGACUCCUACGGGAGGCAGCAGUGAGGAAUAUUGGUCAAUGGACGAGAGUCUGAACCAGCCAAGUCGCGUGCAGGAAGAAUGUUCCCUAUGGAUUGUAAACUGCUUUUGCGAGGGGAAUAAAGUGCAUCACGUGUGAUGUUUUGUAUGUACUCUGCGAAUAAGGAUCGGCUAACUCCGUGCCAGCCGCCGC
rnacentral:rRNA from 1 species